rnacentral:tRNA from 1 species
AGUCCCUGGGUAAGCUCGAACCACCAACCUUUCGGUUAACAGCCGAACGCGCUAGCCGAUUGCGCCACGGAGAC